rnacentral:rRNA from 1 species
AGUGAACGCUGGCGGUAGGCCUAACACAUGCAAGUCGAACGGCAGCACAGUAAGAUCUUGCUCUUACGGGUGGCGAGUGGCGGACGGGUGAGGAAUACAUCGGAAUCUACUUUUUCGUGGGGGAUAACGUAGGGAAACUUACUCUAAUACCGCAUACGACCUACGGUUGAAAGCAGGGGAUCUUCGGACCUUGCGCGAUUGAAUGCGCCGAUGUCGGAUUAGAUAGUUGGCGGGGUAAAGGCCCACCAAGGCGACGAUCCGUAGCUGGUCUGAGAGGAUGAUAAGCCACACUGGAACUGAGACACGGUCAAGACUCCUACGGGAGGCAGCAGUGGGGAAUAUUGGACAAUGGGCGCAAGCCUGAUCCAGCCAUACCGCGUGGGUGAAGAAGGCCUUCGGGUUGUAAAGACCUUUUGUUGGGAAAGAAAAGCAGCAGGUUGAUACCCAGCUGUUGUGACGGUAACCAAAGAAUAAGCACCGGCUAACUUCGUG